rnacentral:rRNA from 1 species
AUGCACCUACGGGGGGCAGCAGUAGGGAAUCUUCCACAAUGGACGAAAGUCUGAUGGAGCAACGCCGCGUGAGUGAAGAAGGGUUUCGGCUCGUAAAGCUCUGUUGGUAGUGAAGAAAGAUAGAGGUAGUAACUGGCCUUUAUUUGACGGUAAUUACUUAGAAAGUCACGGCUAACUACGUGCCAGCAGCCGCGGUAAUACGUAGGUGGCAAGCGUUGUCCGGAAUUACUGGGCGUAAAGGGUGCGCAGGCGGUU